GCCCGCCACACACCCCCCUCUCCCUUCCCAGGAGGAGGGGGGAGAAGGAGGGAGCCGAUGCUCCGCUGCUCUUCCUCCGCUCCCCUGCACCUGAGCGCCGUCGGAGCGGAUCCGCAGCGCGAUGCCAACCGCAAGCAGGUGCGCUCAGCCCCGCAGGACGCGUGCGCAGAGCCCCGCGGGACGCGCCCGCAGCCCCGCCCUUGGCGGCCGGGUGGAAUCCCUCCCAGCUGGGCAGGAAGGCAGUUGUUUGCUUCCUGGUGGAACGUUCCACUUGAAACGGUUCCACGAGGGCUGUUCUCGCCUCCGACUCCGGGAAGAACUGUAAUUAACACAGCAACAAACGCCCACGACGCUAACUGGCAACGGGAGUGUAACACGAGCCCGCUGCUCCAACCGAAUUGGGCCAAUUGCUUUCCCUUCUUUGCCUCCCCAUUUGGUCUGUUUUGGUUCCGCACUCAUCCAACUGGAGCGUUUCUUAAAACAUGUCAGUGGCUGGUGUUUGUGUUUUGAGUUGAACAGUUUCACACCCGUCGCUGGAGAUGGUGCUCGGCAGGCUGCUGGGCUGGGGACUUGCUUUCUGCGAGCGUCGCGAGCGUCAGAUAUAUCUUAUUGAAUUUUUCAUUUGAGGAAAGCACCAGCUGGGGAAGCCAAACACGAGCUAUUACAAAAUUCUGCAAGUAAAAUCAACCUAAAGGCUCACACUGCAGUGAUUCCAGCAGCAAGGACAUCCGAAAUCCAGUCCAUCCACACUGCCAUGGUCUCCCUUCUGUACUUUCGAUGAGUGCUUGUCUGAGUUCACUUAAGAAUCCAAACCAGAGCCUUCCAUGA